rnacentral:tRNA from 1 species
UUAAUAGAAGCUAAACUAAGCACCUUAUUGUUAUUAAGGAAAUUGAAUACAUUAUUCCUAUUAAG